UACGUAGGGUGCAAGCGUUGUCCGGAAUUAUUGGGCGUAAAGAGCUCGUAGGCGGUCUGUCGCGUCGGCUGUGAAAACUCGGGGCUCAACUCCGAGCUUGCAGUCGAUACGGGCAGGCUAGAGUUCGGCAGGGGAGACUGGAAUUCCUGGUGUAGCGGUGAAAUGCGCAGAUAUCAGGAGGAACACCGGUGGCGAAGGCGGUUCUCUGGGCAUUACCUGACGCUGAGGAGCGAAAGUGUGGGGAGCGAACAGG
rnacentral:rRNA from 1 species